rnacentral:rRNA from 1 species
ACAUGCAAGUCGACUGGAAUUCUUCUUCGGAAGAUAGUACGGUGGCGGACGGGUGAGUAACGCGUAAAGAAUUUGCCCUUCAGACUGGGACAACUAAUCGAAAGGUUAGCUAAUACCGGAUAUUAUGAGACCUUGGCAUCAAGGACUUAUGAAAGCUAUAUGCGCUGAAGGAGAACUUUGCGUUCCAUUAGGUAGUUGGUAGGGUAAUGGCCUACCAAGCCGACGAUGGAUAGCCGGCCUGAGAGGGUGAACGGCCACAAGGGGACUGAGACACGGCCCUUACUCCUACGGGAGGCAGCAGUGGGGAAUAUUGGACAAUGGACCAAAAGUCUGAUCCAGCAAUUCUGUGUGCACGAUGAAGGUCUUCGGAUUGUAAAGUGCUUUCAGGUGGGAAGAAGAAAGUGACGGUACCACCAGAAGAAGCGACGGCUAAAUACGUGCCAGCAGCCGCGGUAAUACGUAUGUCGCAAGCGUUAUCCGGAAUUAUUGGGCGUAAAGCGAGUCUAGGCGGCUUGUUAAGUCAGAUGUGAAAAUGCGGGGCU